rnacentral:lncRNA from 1 species
CAGUCAGUGUGCUUGCGACAUCUAGAAGAUCCAGAGUCCCUCCCUCCACCUUCACAGGGACACGCACACUCACUUGUGCACACCCCCUCCUCCCACAUGGAUAUGUAGACACACCUGGCAUGCACUCACCAGCCAUGCACAGCAUGCACGGAGUUACACAGUUCACUCAACUCACAUGGAACCUCCUUUGUCCCUGAUAUAUAAACUAGAGCUCUCCACCUCCUUUGAGUCCUCAGUGGCCUCUUCCAUGAUUAAGUUAUUCUUGUUCACAAUCAUAGUGAAUACUUGAUUUCUCUUUCCCUUUGCUUCUUCCUUGCUCCUCACCCCGUCUCCACCUUACUGUCAUGUGGUACAUAUAUAUUUUAUUUAUCCAUGUAGUUUGCACCAGGUUUC